rnacentral:rRNA from 1 species
GAACUGAAGAGUUUGAUCAUGGCUCAGAUUGAACGCUGGCGGCAGGCCUAACACAUGCAAGUCGAGCGGAUGAGAGGAGCUUGCUCCCUGAUUUAGCGGCGGACGGGUGAGUAAUGCCUAGGAAUCUGCCUGGUAGUGGGGGAUAACGUUCCGAAAGGAACGCUAAUACCGCAUACGUCCUACGGGAGAAAGCAGGGGACCUUCGGGCCUUGCGCUAUCAGAUGAGCCUAGGUCGGAUUAGCUAGUUGGUGAGGUAAUGGCUCACCAAGGCGACGAUCCGUAACUGGUCUGAGAGGAUGAUCAGUCACACUGGAACUGAGACACGGUCCAGACUCCUACGGGAGGCAGCAGUGGGGAAUAUUGGACAAUGGGC